AGGGGCAGCAUGGUCUUAGCUUGCUAAGGCCGAUGGCGACCGGCGCACGGGUGAGUAACACGUAUCCAACCUGCCGUCUACUCUUGGACAGCCUUCUGAAAGGAAGAUUAAUACAAGAUGGCAUCAUGAGUCCACAUGUUCACAUGAUUAAAGGUAUUCCGGUAGACGAUGGGGAUGCGUUCCAUUAGAUAGUAGGCGGGGUAACGGCCCACCUAGUCUUCGAUGGAUAGGGGUUCUGAGAGGAAGGUCCCCCACAUUGGAACUGAGACACGGUCCAAACUCCUACGGGAGGCAGCAGUGAGGAAUAUUGGUCAAUGGGCGAGAGCCUGAACCAGCCAAGUAGCGUGAAGGAUGACUGCCCUAUGGGUUGUAAACUUCUUUUAUAAAGGAAUAAAGUCGGGUAUGCAUACCCGUUUGCAUGUACUUUAUGAAUAAGGAUCGGCUAACUCCGUGCCAGCAGCCGCGGUAAUACGGAGGAUCCGAGCGUUAUCCGGAUUUAUUGGGUUUAAAGGGAGCGUAGAUGGAUGUUUAAGUCAGUUGUGAAAGUUUGCGGCUCAACCGUAAAAUUGCAGUUGAUACUGGAUAUCUUGAGUGCAGUUGAGGCAGGCGGAAUUCGUGGUGUAGCGGUGAAAUGCUUAGAUAUCACGAAGAACUCCGAUUGCGAAGGCAGCCUGCUAAGCU
rnacentral:rRNA from 1 species